rnacentral:rRNA from 1 species
UAUGAACGCUGGCGGCGUGCCUAAUACAUGCAAGUCGAGCGAACGGACGAGAAGCUUGCUUCUCUGAUGUUAGCGGCGGACGGGUGAGUAACACGUGGAUAACCUACCUAUAAGACUGGGGUAACUUCGGGAAACCGGAGCUAAUACCGGAUGAUAUUUUGAACCGCAUGGUUCAAAAGUGAAAGACGGUCUUGCUGUCACUUAUAGAUGGAUCCGCGCUGCAUUAGCUAGUUGGUAAGGUAACGGCUUACCAAGGCAACGAUGCAUAGCCGACCUGAGAGGGUGAUCGGCCACACUGGAACUGAGACACGGUCCAGACUCCUACGGGAGGCAGCAGUAGGGAAUCUUCCGCAAUGGGCGAAAGCCUGACGGAGCAACGCCGCGUGAGUGAUGAAGGUCUUCGGAUCGUAAAACUCUGUUAUUAGGGAAGAACAUAUGUGUAAGUAACUGUGCACAUCUUGACGGUACCUAAUCAGAAAGCCACGGCUAACUACGUG